GAGUCGUGCGGACUUCGUGUCAGCGGCAUACGGCUCAGUAACACGUGGGUAACCUACUCUCAGGUCGGGGAUAACUCCGGGAAACUGGAGCUAAUACCCGGCAGACACAGGAAUCUGGAAUGAUCCUGUAUCGAAAGCUCCGGCGCCUGAGAAUGGGCCUGCGGCUGAUUAGGUAGUUGGUGGGGUAAUGGCCCACCAAGCCUACGAUCGGUACGGGCAGUGAGAGCUGGAGCCCGGAGAUGGGGACUGAGACAAGGCCCCAGGCCCUACGGGGCGCAGCAGGUGCGAGAACUCGCCAAUGCUCGAAAGAGUGAGCGGGGAACCCCAAGUGCCCUUGUAAUGCAAGGGCUUUUCUUUGGUGUUAGGAGCCAGAGGAAUAAGGGCUGGGUAAGACUGGUGCCAGCCGCCGCGGUAACACCAGCAGCUCGAGUGGUCGCCGUUAUUAUUGGGCUUAAAGCGUCCGUAGCCGGAUAGAUUAGUCUCUAGGUAAAUCUUACGUCUAAGCGUAAGCCUUCUGGAGAUACUGUCUAUCUCGAGGCCGGGAGAGGUUGGAGGUACUCCCGGGGUAGGAGUAAAAUCCUGUAAUCCUGGGGGGACCACCGGUGGCGAAGGCGUCCAACUGGAACGGGCCUGACGGUGAGGGACGAAACCCAGGGGAGCGAGCCGGAUUAGAUACCCGGGUAGUCCUGGGCGUAAAUGAUGCGGACUAGGUGUGGGGAUAUCCACGAGAUAUCUCUGUGCCGAAGGGAAGCCAUUAAGUCCGCCGCCUGGGGAGUACGGCCGCAAGGCUGAAACUUAAAGGAAUUGGCGGGGGAGCACCACAAGGGGUGGAGGCUGCGGUUUAAUUGGAUUCAACGCCGGAAAACUCACCGGAGGCGACGGCAGUAUGAUGGCCAAGUUGAUGACUUUGCCUGACGAGCCGAGAGGAGGUGCAUGGCCGCCGUCAGUUCGUACCGUGAGGUGUCCUCUUAAGUGAGGUAACGAACGAGACCCCCACCCUCAGUUACCAGCAAAUUCCUAUGGAAUGAUGGGGACUCUGAGGGGACCGCUGCUGCUAAAGCAGAGGAAGGAGGGGGCAACGGUAGGUCAGUAUGCCCCGAAUCCCCCGGGCUACACGCGGCCUACAAUGGUUACGACAAUGGGUUCCGACACUGAAAAGUGAAGGUAAUCCCCUAAACGUAAUCUCAGUCCGGAUUGAGGGCUGUAACUCGCCCUCAUGAAGCUGGAAUCCCUAGUAAUCGCGUGUCAUUAUCGCGCGGUGAAUACGUCCCUGCUCCUUGCACACACCGCCCGUCAUAUCACCUGAGUAGGGCUUGGAUGAGGAUCUGUCGAUGGCAAAU
rnacentral:rRNA from 1 species